UAGGGAAUCUUCGGCAAUGGGGGCAACCCUGACCGAGCAACGCCGCGUGAGUGAAGAAGGUUUUCGGAUCGUAAAGCUCUGUUGUAAGAGAAGAACGUGUGUGAGAGUGGAAAGUUCACACAGUGACGGUAACUUACCAGAAAGGGACGGCUAACUACGUGCCAGCAGCCGCGGUAAUACGUAGUUCCCGAGCGUUGUCCGGAUUUAUUGGGGGUAAAGCGAGCGCAGGCGGUUUAAUAAGUCUGAAGUUAAAGGCAGUGGCUUAAUCAUUGUUCGCUUUGGAAACUGUUAAGCUUGAGUGCAGAAGGGGAGAGUGGAAUUCCAUGUGUAGCGGUGAAAUGCGUAGAUAUAUGGAGGAACACCGGUGGCGAACGCAGCUCUCUUGUCUGUAACUGACGCUGAGGCUCGAAAGCGUGGGGAGCAAACAGG
rnacentral:rRNA from 1 species